GAUGAACGCUGGCGGCGUGCCUAAUACAUGCAAGUCGAGCGAAUGGAUUAAGAGCUUGCUCUUAUGAAGUUAGCGGCGGACGGGUGAGUAACACGUGGGUAACCUGCCCAUAAGACUGGGAUAACUCCGGGAAACCGGGGCUAAUACCGGAUAACAUUUUGAACCGCAUGGUUCGAAAUUGAAAGGCGGCCUCGGCUGUCACUUAUGGAUGGGCCCGCGUCGCAUUAGCUAGUUGGUGAGGUAACGGCCCACCAAGGCAACGAUGCGUAGCCGAACUGAGAGGGUGAUCGGCCACACUGGGACUGAGACACGGCCCAGACUCCUACGGGAGGUAGCAGUAGGGAAUCUUCCGCAAUGGACGAAAGUCUGACGGAGCAACGCCGCGUGAGUGAUGAAGGCUUUCGGGUCGUAAAACUCUGUUGUUAGGGAAGAACAAGUGCUAGUUGAAUAAGCUGGCACCUUGACGGUACCUAACCAGAAAGCCACGGCUAACUACGUGCCAGCCGCCGCGGUAA
rnacentral:rRNA from 1 species